GAUGAACGCUGGCGGCGUGCCUAAUACAUGCAAGUCGAGCGAACGGACGAGAAGCUUGCUUCUCUGAUGCUAGCGGCGGACGGGUGAGUAACACGUGGAUAACCUACCUAUAAGACUGGGAUAACUUCGGGAAACCGGAGCUAAUACCGGAUAAUAUUUUGAACCGCAUGGUUCAAAAGUGAAAGACGGUCUUGCUGUCACUUAUAGAUGGAUCCGCGCUGCAUUAGCUAGUUGGUAAGGUAACGGCUUACCAAGGCAACGAUGCAUAGCCGACCUGAGAGGGUGAUCGGCCACACUGGAACUGAGACACGGUCCAGACUCCUACGGGAGGAAGCAGUAGGGAAUCUUCCGCAAUGGGCGAAAGCCUGACGGAGCAACGCCGCGUGAGUGAUGAAGGUCUUCGGAUCGUAAAACUCUGUUAUUAGGGAAGAACAUAUGUGUAAGUAACUGUGCACAUCUUGACGGUACCUAAUCAGAAAGCCACGGCUAACUACGUG
rnacentral:rRNA from 1 species